CACGAGUUUGAUCAUGGCUCAGAUUGAACGCUGGCGGAAUGCUUUACACAUGCAAGUCGAACGGUAGAGGGGGCAACCCCUUGAGAGUGGCGAACGGGUGAGUAAUAUAUCGGAACGUGCCCAGUCGUGGGGGAUAACGUAGCGAAAGUUACGCUAAUACCGCAUACGAUCUACGGAUGAAAGCGGGGGACUCGCAAGAGCCUCGCGCGAUUGGAGCGGCCGAUAUCAGAUUAGGUAGUUGGUGGGGUAAAGGCUCACCAAGCCAACGAUCUGUAGCUGGUCUGAGAGGACGACCAGCCACACUGGAACUGAGACACGGUCCAGACUCCUACGGGAGGCAGCAGUGGGGAAUUUUGGACAAUGGACGCAAGUCUGAUCCAGCCAUUCCGCGUGCAGGAUGAAGGCCCUCGGGUUGUAAACUGCUUUUGUACGGAACGAAAAGGUUUCUAUUAAUACUAGGAGCUCAUGACGGUACCGUAAGAAUAAGCACCGGCUAACUACGUG
rnacentral:rRNA from 1 species